AUCAGCCUUUCGGGUGCGAUUCUGUGGGGUUUGAGGAGCUUAACACCUUCAUGCUUUGCAUAUUCGUGCUCUUGGGUGUACUUGCCCGUGUGGUUGGUUAACAUCAAUUUUGGUGGUCAUAAAAUGACUGGAGGAAUGUAGCUUCGAUCUUGUAUUGAAGUGUUAUAGCCUUCGGUAGAUGUGAUGAUCGAGAUUGAGGAUUGCAACGGAUACCCUUCGGGGCUACCUGUCUGAUCUCUGAUCGUUGUUCUGGUGCCGAAAGCUUGCUUACGGUUAUCAAAGUCGAUGGUCAAUAGGUUAGAACGGGUUAAAUUCGUUAAGGAUGUUGGCGUAAUGGCUUU
rnacentral:rRNA from 1 species